rnacentral:sRNA from 1 species
UCCAACCGAGGGAUCGUCGUUAGCUUU